UGCCAUUCCGCACUAGGAUUCACUCUCACUUUUUGUAGUUCCCGGUUGCUUUGCUGUGGGGGUGCUGAAGAUCCCUAGGGAGCAGGCCUGGUUUUUGAGCACCAGGAAAUGGUAUCUUGUAUGCAGCUCAUAAACGCCCUUGUUAAAUCUCCUGAUGAGUUGGACAUCAGGCUUUGGAUCAGAAAUAAAUUUAUGCAUUGUGGAUUGAAAGAAAUAUUGCCAAAUUUAAAGCAUAUUAAGAAUGAUGGCCUGGAUAUCCAACUUAAAGCAUUUGAUAACCAUAAGGAAGAUGAUUUUAUUUGAGUUCUUCCAUCACCUUGAAGAUAUUAGAGUUGA